rnacentral:lncRNA from 10 species
UUGAACAGUCCACAGCACAAGGGAAAAUAUCAACACAUCUUUUUUUUUUUUUUGUAAAGAGAUAGUAAAUAUUAUACAUUUGCAAGACACGUAAUUCUUCAAACACAUAUUUUUCCUUUUUUUUUUUUUUUUUUUUUUACGCUUUAAAAAAGCGAAAAGCAUUCUUAGUUCUGGGGCCAUACGAAACAAGCUGUGGGCUGGAUUGGACCCGUAGUAGGGGACAGCAGAGGCAUUAGAGAAAAGGAACCUGUAUCACUGCAGGAAAGAGACCAAGGAACCUGUAUCGCUGCAGGAAAGAGACCUUUAGAAGGUGAUGUGAGCAGCAUUGACAUCUUAUUUAUCCAUCAGCUAAAGUGAUUUCUACAGAGUGAACAUCUCUGAAUUCCUCUGAUAAUUUAAGACCCUGCAGCACCUGAGUAUCACCGGGUUGCACAUCAGUUCUCAUCCAAUUAGCUUGCAGUUAUAGGAGACAAAAAGGGAUGGCCUCCAUUUACAAGAAAAGCAUCUAAAAGGUUCUCUGCAUCCACAGACAUCAUCAUGUCAACAGGAUGGAGGACAAGAUAAAGAAAGUGACAGAGGUGCAAGCUGCUAUCUCUCAGAAGGGUUUAGAAAAAUUGUCACUUACUACUCCCACUUACAACCCUUCGGCUAUAUUUUUGUUACAUGGUCAAAGCUAGCUACAACAGAAGCAAUGACCAGCUAAAAUUCUGGGUUUGUGUUCAUUUGAGAGAAAACGAGAAUACAUUUUGGGGGGAAACUAGCAGUCUCUGACAUAGAAUAUCGUGACAGAUAGAUGGAUAACAGGUCUUUAAAAGCAACUUUAGUAACUUUCACCUCAUAACACCACAACACUUACUACAUUAGAGACUUGAAGUGUCAGGUGUAAUGAGAUCAAGUACAUGACCUUAAAAUGAUCUUAUUUCAUAAGUUAUUAGAAUCUCAGAUCCAGAUCAGGCUAAAAGAUCACUUAGUAUAAAAAACACAAAGAACAAACAUUCUUCACCAAUGUGUAUCCCAGGUUUUGUUUAAAUACUUCAAGUUAUAUAAUUCUCAGUUUUUUUUGAAAGCCUAUUCUUCAUCUCAACUGCUUUAGAUAAUAUUAAUUUUCAACCAUUUAUUCUAAUCCUGUCUUUUAAAAUGAUGCUAAACAAAUAUUUUCUUUCUUCAUCGAAAUGAUUCUUUAAAAACUAGGAAAUAGCUGCUUUUACCCCUUUAGUGUCAUCCCUAAAAUCACCUUCAGGCUAAAUAAUCUGAAUUUCUUGAACACAAGUUUUAGGUUCAUUAUCACCUGAGUAAUGUCCUUCCUUUAGAUUUCUGGAUGCUCUUGCUUUUGUUAAGGUCAAUCUUAACAUCUGAUACAACAAUAUUUAUUCAUCAUUAAACACAAGACUUUCUUCCUUUCUUCUUUCUUCCUAAUUCAAGCUGAACUAAACAUAACAGAAAUCAUCUGGCAGCUGUUCACAGUACCCUCUCCCUCUUAUCGCCACCCAUCUCCUUCCCAUUGCUUAGAUAAAGAGUAUGUCAUGUGACAAAACCAUGACUCACAAUUACUUCUAUAGUUCAUUUGUCCUGUGUCCUGUAGCAUUAAACCUAAUGAUUUGGACAAGAAAAGACUCACCUGGCUUCAUUUCCUUUUCUGCUGAAUGUCAAUUUCACAUGACCAUGGGGACGAUUCAUUAGCCUCUGAAACUUCCAGGAAGAGGGAAUUUCUUUGCUUUUAAUUUAAAUCAUUUAAACUAUUUUAAAAUAGUCUGAAAAUAAUAUUUUAAAUAAUUAUGCUUAAUAGUACAAUUUAUACACACACAUUGCUAUAUUUAUAUAUAUAUAUGCAUAUGUGCAUAUAUAAGCACUAAUUUCUAAGUAGAAGAAUUUGUUAAUUAAUCACCCUUAAUGGCAAAAUAGCUUCCCAUUAGUCAAGCCUCAGGUUAAUUAAUUCACCAGACGAUGAGUGAUAUAAGUCCUAGUGCUUUCUUCCUAACUACUUACUAUUCCAUCCAGAAGACAUGCUCAAUAUAUCUCUCACUGAACAGCCUGGUUUCUGCUUCUGCGGAGGCUGAAUUUUAGCACUAUAUCUGAUAAACAUUUUCUUGGAAUAAAAAAAAGAAUGUAAUUUUUUUUUUGACACAGACCUAUUUAAUGUUGGUGAGAAUAGUGGGCACCAUUUAGGAUUCAAAAAAAAAGAACUAUUCAGGGAGCAGCCACAGCUUGCCAUUGAAGUUGAAGUAGAUUUCUUAUCAACACACAGAACUCAAUUUUGCCAAGAACCUGAAUCAACCUGCAAAUGAAUUCUUUCCCACAGCCCAUGAAUAAGAACACAGUUUGGAUGAGGCCUUGAUUUUGGCAUUGUGUAAUCCUAAACUAAGAAUCCACUCAAACCCACCUGGACUUUUGACCUAGAAAGCUAAUUAUUGGAUGUUAUUUUUAGCUGUGAAGUUUGUGAUAAUUUGUAAUGCAACAACAGACAAUGUCUAAAAAUGUCAAAUAAAUACCUCCAACUCAACUCGUCAAAAAAUAUUGCUCCUCUCAGUUAUGUUUUGCAACCUUUCCCUUUUAUUUCAUAACAAUUUCAUUGUUUUUGUUGUUGCAGCCAAAAAACUUAGUCAUUCUUACAUCCUCACUUUUUCUCCCAUCUUUGUAGGUGUAGAAUCCACCUCAAAAUCCUAUGGACUCUACUUCUAUAAAAUAUGUAGAAUUUAACCAGUUUUCACUCCUUCACUGUUCUCACCCUGGUCUGAGCCACUAACAUCUCUCACCUUUUAUUGCAACAGUCAACUAACAGGUAGUCACACUUCAACCUUAUCUCACUAGCCUCCUGUGUAUUUUGUGGACACAAUAGUCUUUUCAAAACCUAAGUCAUACCAUAUCUUUUCUCAAAAUCUUGCAUCAUCUCCCCAUUUGAACUCACAAUAAAAGUCUCCAGGCAAUGAGCUGGUAGGUCUUUAUGAUCUGUUCCUCCCACAUCCAAUGUAUCUUUUCCUGUUCUCCCCUUUAUUUUCUCUGUGCCAGCCAUACUGGCUUCCUUAACAUUCUAAAAACCCAGACAGUGUUACCUUAUUGUGUUUGUUCUAAUAACCACUUUAACUCUGACUUGAGCUUCAUCAAAUCCCUCGCUUGCUUCAGGGUUUGCUCAGAUUUUUAUUCUCCAUGAAACCUGCCCUAGCUACUGAAGCCCCACGCUUCCUAUCCUCUCUCUUGGCCUUCCAGGUCCCUCCCAACUGCUCUGAUGUCUUUGGUUAUUUUUUCCAUGGAAUUUAUAAAUUUUUAACAUGCUAUAUACUUUGCUUUCUUAUUGUGUUUUUUACUUAUUUCCCAUCUCUCUCCGAAUACAAUGUGAGCUCCUUGCAAACAGGAAUUUGUGUUCGUUGUAUUCACAGAUGUGUAUGUGUAAGGCACCUGAAUAUUGGCCUAACACGCUGAAAGAGCUCAGUAAAUAUUUGUUAAACAAAUGGGUGAAAUGCAGACACUUAUAGACACUAUUUAGAAGAGAAUAACAUCUACAGAUUUGAACUACUAGGUUGCCCCUGGCAGAGGCAUGGUCAGAGGCACACAGCACAAUAAUAGUGAAACCAGAUUUACCUUGGACACAUUAACCAUUGAUCUUGAUUGAAAACAAGGACAGCAACAAUAAAAUUUGAUACUAAAUCUUUCUUUGAGAAUUUGCAUGAUAGACAUACAGAGAAUAUGGAAUCCUGGCUCUAUGACUAACCAAUGGCGGAAUCUUGGUUAAGUUAUUUAAUUAUUUUCUGUCUCAGUGUCCCAUUUUAAACAUGGAGAUAAAAUAUAUCCCAUGAGGUUGUUUUGAGGGUUAAACAAGAUAACAGAUUUAAAGUGUCUAGAAGAGAGCCUGCACUCGGAGAAUAUUAGCCUUCCUCACCUCUGUGCAUUCUUUGACUUCAAAUUGUUGAACAAGUGCCAAGAUGUAGAAUCUAUCACAGUGAUACCCCUUGAUGUAGGGCAUGUCUGUCAUAUAUUUAAAGAAAUUUUCAAACAACCUCCCUCAUCCUGAAUUCAAAAUGGGGCUUAGAAUGAGGUUCUUAGAAACAUAAUUUAGAGACGCCACCUCUAAAGCAACUCUUAGUUUGGAACCUCGAAUUUCUUGGUCUAUAUUGGAUCCAAACUCGUACAACACACCUCACAUCGUUCCCCAGAGACCCCUAUCCCUCUCCAUUUUCCUUUCCUCUUUCUUCCUCCCUCACCCUUGUACAAUCCAUUAUAACUCAUCUUUCUACCUUCUACAGAACCUGGAACAUGUAUUUGCACAGAAUAGUCACUACAUUUUGCUAAACAAUUAAAUCACUUAGGAAAUGACCCAGCUUUUUGUUCCUCUAUGAUGGCAUGUUUCGAAAAAGGCUGUACUAUUUUAUUAUUUCAGAGUUCUUAUUCCCGUGUUUCAGGGCUGGGACUAAUGAAUAUUUUCCUAGGGAUCUCUAAGUCCAGCUCCCGAUGGCAUCCACCUGGGCUCAGCACUUUAGAUGCAUCUUUCACAAUGUUGUCUCUGUGUGAAUAAAGUCAGCCAAUCCAUGUGGCCACCCCUGGCCCUUGUACCUGCUCUUGUUUUAUAGCUGUUAUCCUUUUGAAAAUGCAUGUUACAGCAUUCACAGAGAAACUAGAGCACUAGAUUGAAACACAGUUUCUCUUCUAAACACACUUCUUCAUUUGCUUAUGUUUUUCUCAGAAGUUUCCUUUGGGAAUUAAAUAUAUUUUUAAUGUUUGUUUCAAGUGGGCUUUUUUUUUUUUUUUUUUUUUUAAGGAAAGCAGCUUUCUUCUUCUCCAAGUACUUUGAUCUUUUUUUUUUCUUGAAAUACAAUUCCUGAAGCUGAAGCUAUAAACAUUAUUUUCUUCCUUGGAAAUAAUUAGGCGCCAUUUUAAAAAGAGAUUUUUAAAGGAGAUACUUAAGCUCAAGUAUGUAAAGAAUGACACACUGUGAAACAUGGGUAUGGUUUUAGGCAUGAGAAACUCUGCUAAAACAUAAUUAUACAAUGAGGAAUUUCUACAUGAUAACAAUUAACAUUUAAGUGGCCAAAUAAUGCCUCACUCUCGUUUUACUCAGAGAUGACCAGGGAAAUGGAGUCUUCUAGUAUAAGUGUGACAUGGCAAUGGGAGGCAUUUUUCAAAAGAUAAUGUAAGAUUGGCAGCUUCUCCAAGUAGGUGUGUUAACUCUUCUUUAGACUGAUGAGGAAAUCCAGUUUCAGAGAGGCAAAGUGACUUGAAAGUAUGUGGUUGUUUGCAGCUUUAAUUUCCUUAUCUGUAAAAGGAGAGCUGUCUGCAUUUUCUCCAUAACAUUAGAAAACAUGGAUUCUUGUAGUUGAGAUCAGCCCAUAUAAAAUCCCACAUAACCAGUAUGUCAGACAAUUGCCUCUGAACUAACUGAAGAGUAGGAAGAAAUACACCCCAUUCAUUCUGAUGGCUCACAUUCUGCUACAGAAGAUGUGUGCCUUCAUGCCUCAUAUCUCCUCAGCCUUCCCUUUUCAUAAACCAGGUAAUGUAAACAAAAAUAAUGUGGCUAUUGUGUUUUAAGAGAUGUGUAGUUAAUUAAUGAGCUAUUAAUGUAACUUUAGUAUAUAAAGUUCCUUUUGAACCUCCUCUUUUUCCUGUCACUCUGAUUCCAUCAAGCUACCCGCUCACCUAGUUUUAAGACAUUGAAUCUAUAAAGUCACUUCCAUAUAAGUACACAAAUAUUCGGCAAGUUAGUUAGACACUGGCACCAUAUGCAGUUCCCCGAAGAGUGACCCUAUUUCAGCAUUAAUACGUCACACUCCCAUAGUUGCACAAGAAAUACUGACAUAAUGCUGAUUCUAUUUCAGUGAUUAGUUUAGGCCCUGAGGCAAGGUAUAUAGGUAAAUUAUGGAACAUUAGAAGUGUUUUAACAGAUACAUAAAUAAAUGCCAUAGGGAGAAAGGGGAAGGUGAGAUUAAUCCUUUUUGCUGGGUCUGGGGAGAGGCACAGGUCUUUAACCAAGGAGGUGAUACUGAAACAGGUGCUCUGGUGAUAGGUAGGAUUCUCAUCUGUACUCAUGGAGAAAGGACAGAGGAAAUUAUCUGAGCACAAGCCAGAGAGAUGGUAUAUUAGUUUCCUGUGGCUGCUGUAACAAACAACCACACAUUUUGUGUCCUGAAACAUCAAAAAUGUAUUCUUUCACAGUUCUGGAGGCCAGAGGUCUGAAAUCCAGGUGCCUGCAGGGGCAGGGCCAAGCUUUCUCUGGGGCUUUAGGAGGGAAUCCUUUCUACUUCCAGUGGUUGUUGGCGUUGCUUGGCUUCCUUG